GGGUGAGCAAAAUCAACUCUUCGUCCACUCGCACUUCUUUUGGGAGGGUUAUUUAUAUUCCUCGAGAAGCUCCCGAAAGCAUUGACUAAUUGCUGAAGGAGUCAGUCACAUGCUUUGGCUAAAGGGCACGAAAAAUCCCACAUCUGCUUGGAGAAACUGUGACUUGGGCAGAGGGGUACAAGCUUACCCUCUUGCAUUCCCGUAAAUACGAGUUUGUCAUGUUUUGCGUGCAGACGGUAGCAAAAACUUUACCUUGAUACAUUUCCUGCUUGGCAAAUCCUCUCCUCUUGAUCUCUGCUUUCUUUUAUGUUUCUCAGUCCCUUUCUUUCUCCACCUCCUCUCUCCCUCUCUCUCAGCUUCUGUCUUUCACUUCGCAUCCUGUGCCAAAGUGGGCAGGGAGAAAGAGCUCGUGGUGAGGCGGGUGAAGCGGAGGCCGCUGUACGUGCUCUUUCUUCAGCCACAACCCCAUGGAAGAGCAUGUUUGGUGGUAGCAAAUUUUUAGGUCUCUCUCCUCGAGAUAGGCGUACUAUGUGCAUGAGUCUACUCUUCUCGCCGCCAUGACCCUGCCUUGUGUUCUUUGACGUUGAAGCCUCUAGUCUGCAGGAAUCCAGCAGUGUGCUGUCUGACUAGUUGACAUCUGUUCUGCUGUCCUUGGGGCUGAGGUAGUAGAUUGAAUAGUUGUGGAGCAUGGUGCUCUCUCACUGAGAUAACUAUACAAUCUACUGUCUUUCCUAAGGCGACAGCCAAAUCAUCCACAAACAACAUGGACUCGUUUGAAAUAACCACCUCACACACGUCUGCAGCCGAAGAGGAUACUCAAUCACAUUACAGAAGUAAAAUGGCGAUUGAUGUUUCAUGUUGACUUCGUAAAUACGCUAGUGUGUCAGCGGAUGUGUGUCACGGGACUGCACUUUGGUGUCUUGACAGGGUGAGGUAGUAGGUUGUAUAGUUUGGUGGGAGGGAUCAAACCCUGUUCAGGUGAUAACUAUACAGUCUAUUGCCUUCCUUGUGGUACCAACUAUCUGCCCACUAGGGGAAACUCCCUGGAGUUUAAAUAUUGUUAAACCCUAUGGUCACACUAUAUGAACUAUUUAUGUGAAAGGAGUGUUUCAGUUACAGUAUUCACACUGCCCACUUAAACAAAGCAGCAUGUGUAAUACACAAAUAUGUUGAAAAUGCCCUAUAAACCUAUUUAUCAACACAAUCUUCUGCAGGAUAGACUUUUGUGAAGAAGCCAAGUAAUGGAGCAACCUCCCAACAAAACAAACACUUUCUCUUCAGUAUCUCUGACUGUGUAGAUUAAUAAACAUUUCGAUGUAGAACCUCAUGUAAAUUACACUGCUGUUCAAAAGUUUGGAGACAGUAAGAUUUUUUUAAAAGAAAUUUCAAGGAUGCUUAAAAGCGACAGUAAAGACAUUUAGAACAUUACUAUUCAUUAAAGAAAUCUGGGGGAAAAAAUACCACUAAAAUAUAAAGCAGCACAACUGUUUUCAACAUUGAUAAUAAUCAGAAAUCUUUCUUGAGCAUCAUCAUAUUAGAAUGAUUUCUGAAGGAUCAUGUGACACUAAGACUGGAGUAAUGAUGCUGAAAAUUCAGCUUUGAUCACAGGAAUAAAUUGCAUUUAACAAUAUAAUCACAUAGAAAACAUAACAUAAUUUUUAAUUGUAAUAAUAUUUCACAAUAUUACAGUUUUUACUGUAUUUUUUUUUAUUAAAUAAAUGCAGCCUUGGUGAGCAGAAGAUUAAAAUAAAAAAAUUAAUUAAAACAUCUUACCGACCCCAAACUUUUGAAGGGUUAGUUUUGAUUUAAUUUCAUUUUAAAAGUUAUGGUCAUUAUUAAAUUCAGAAAUCACUUUAUUUUCUGUAGCCUAGUGUAUACAACAGCAGAAGCACCUUGAGUUUGAAAGCACAACACAACUCUUGAGGCCCGUUCAGACCAAGGACAAUAACUAUAACAUAAUGAUAUAGUUCUAAAUAUAAUUCUAAAUAUAAAAGAAUAGCAGAGUCCACAUCACAACUAUAACAAUAACGGCACAGAGGAACGAUAUUGUUGGAAUCACUUUCAGAAUGAUUUUUCGAACUGAUAAACAAUAAAAACACUGACAGCCAAUCAGAGUCCAUCCUGACUUUAAAGAACUCGAGAAUUCAAAGUGACAGAUGACAAAACUGCAGAACAAUAUUGUCUGCUGGUGUGGACAUUUAUCAUUACAGUUGUCGAUCUUGGUGUGAACGGGCCUGUGUGUGUGUGUGUUGUGAAACAAGCCUAACUUUUUACCUAACAAGCCUGAACAACAUCUGUCUCUGUCAGCUUAACAUGCUGAUCUAGCAUUACAUAUGAAGAGAAAAAUCAUAUUAAAUGAGAUUUACUGAGCUCAGAUUUAUGGCUUAAUCAAUCAUUUAACUGUUCUGUUGGCUUGUGAUCAAACAGGAUUUUCACACAUCAUAACAGGAAAUUCAGUUUCAAUCAGACAAUGCAUCAUAUGGCCUUGUUCUGUGAAUGGAAAAAUAUAUAACUGCACAAUAUGCAUAAUAUGUUCCUGUUCUAUGAAUAAAAAAGUUUUAUUCAA